AUUGAACGCUGGCGGCAUGCUUUACACAUGCAAGUCGAACGGUAACAGGCCGCAAGGUGCUGACGAGUGGCGAACGGGUGAGUAAUUCAUCGGAACGUGCCCAGUCGUGGGGGAUAACUACUCUAAAGAGUAGCUAAUACCGCAUACGAUAUAUGGAUGAAAGCGGGGGACCGUAAGGCCUCGCGCGAUUGGAGCGGCCGAUGUCGGAUUAGGUAGUGGGUGGGGUAAAGGCUGACCAAGCCAACGAUCUGUAGCGGGUCUGAGAGGACGACCAGCCACACUGGGACUGAGACACGGCCCAGACUCCUACGGGAGGCCGCAGUGGGGAAUUUUGGACAAUGGGCGCAAGCCUGAUCCAGCAAUGCCGCGUGCAGGAAGAAGGCCUUCGGGUUGUAAACUGCUUUUGUACGGAACGAAACGGCUCUGGUUAAUACCCGGGGCUAAUGACGGUACCGUAAGAAUAAGCACCGGCUAACUACGUG
rnacentral:rRNA from 1 species